rnacentral:rRNA from 1 species
CCACGGGUUGCUGCAGUGAGGAAUAUUGCACAAUGGGGGGAACCCUGAUGCAGCAACGCCGCGUGGAGGAUGACGCAUUUCGGUGUGUAAACUCCUUUUAUAUGUCAAGAAAAUGACGGUAGCAUAUGAAUAAGCACCGGCUAACUCCGUGCCAGCAGCCGCGGUAAUACGGGAGGGUGCAAGCGUUACUCGGAAUCACUGGGCGUAAAGGACGCGUAGGCGGGUUGGAAAGUCAGGUGUGAAAUCCUACAGCUUAACUGUAGAACUGCACUUGAAACUUCUAAUCUAGAGUAUGGGAGGGGGAGAUGGAAUUAGUGGUGUAGGGGUAAUAUCCGUAGAUAUCACUAGGAAUACCUAAAGCGAAGGCGAUCUCCUGGAACAUUACUGACGCUAAGGCGUGAAAGCGUGGGGAGCAAACAGGAUUAGAUACCCGAGUAGUC